GAGGCGUGGUUACCUCAGCCAAUCACAGCGCGCCUAGUGCGCAGGUGACUUUGGGAGUUGAUAGAAGCGAGUGGACGCUAUGCAGACCGGCAGCGAUAACAGAAGCUACGCGGGGGAAGGAAAUACAAUGAAAAAAACGCCAAGCAGAUAAACCGUGUGCCUAAAGGGGGGUGAAAGCGGCUUCACUUUGUGAGCAGCUCGGGAUGAAGAGAGACGCAGAGUCAGCCUGCUUUCUGAUGAACAGAUACACGAAAGGUUUGCCAGCCUCAACACCCCCUAAAGCCCCCGUUUACCCUUUGACUCCCAUCAAACCUGGACUACCUGAAACUUAAGACCUCAGAGCUGAUCCAGCUGUGAGGAUGAUCACACCAAAGAGAAGCCUUUCUACGUGGACCAGUAUACGAGAGCAAUUGCACAAUUCAAUUUCAAACUGGCUUAUCAAACACCUAACACACCUGGGGAGAGAACUGUGACACUUACCCUUUACAUCCACUACAACACUAUGUUUAUAUCAUAUCCAUAAUUAUGUUUUUAAUCUAUUGGGGUCACUUCCUUUUAGGCUCCUUUAUAGUUAUAUGUCUUUCAUGACGAACACCUGCAUCAUACCUGUGGAAUUAUAAAUGUUUGUAUAUGACCAGUGUUUUGAAAUAAAAAAGUUAUUUAUGAAUUAUCA